UCAAGCAAGUAUAGGUUUGUGGCGGAUGCCUAGGAGCUGUCCGGCGAAGAAGGCCGCGGUAAGCUGCGAAAAGCUGCGGGGAGGAGCAAACAUCCUUAGAUCCGCAGAUAGCCGAAUGGGGUAACCCGUAUGUCGAAAGGCAUACACCGCGCGCGGGAAGAAGAUACUGCGGCGGAGCGAUACUGCGUGAAGUGAACCAUCUAAGUAACGCGGGAAGAGAAAUCAAAAGAGAUUGCGCAAGUAGCGGCGAGCGAACGCGCAGGAGCCUAAACCCUUUAGAGGGGUGUUGCAGGGCCGCACGGGGAUGACCCGUGGAGUUAGGAAAAAACCGAUUUUUAGCGGAAGCGUCUGGAAAGGCGCGCGAGACAGCGUGAAAGCCGCGUAUGCGAAAAGGAUCGGACUCCAUGGUGCGGUACCUAAGUAGAGCGGGGCACGAGAAACCCUGUUUGAAUCCGGGUCGACCACGAUCCAAGGCUAAAUACGAGACAGCUACCGACAGCGAAGAGUACCGUGAGGGAAAGGCGAAAAGAACCCCGGUGAGGGGAGUGAAAGAGAACCUGAAACCGCAAACCGACAAGAUGUCACGGCGCGCGAGCGUUGUGGCGUGUCUUUUGUAGAAUAAACCUGCGAGUUGCGAUGCGCGGCGAGGCUAAGGGUUGGGAGAUCCGGAGCCGGAGCGAAAGCGAGUGUGAGAAGUGCGAGAAGUCGCGUGUCGCAGACCCGAAGCCAAGGUGAUCUAAUUAUGGGCAGGCUGAAGGCAGGGUGAAACCUGUUGGAGGGCCGAACAGUAAUCUGUUAAAAAAGGUAGUGAUGACCUGUGAUUAGGAGUGAAAGGCUAAACAAACCUGGAAAUAGCUGGCUCUCCCCGAAAUGCCUUUAGGGACAGCCUCAUGCAAAGCGGAAGGAGGUAAAGCACCGGAUGGGAUAGGGGGCGUCACAGUCUACCGACACCAAUCGAACUCAGAAUGCCAUCCGCCAACGCAUGGGAGUGAGACUGUGUGCUCCAAGGUUCAUAGUCGAGAGGGAAACAGCCCGGACCGCCGGCAAAGGUCCCAAAAUAACGCUCAGUGUGAAAUGAGGUGCGUUUGCACAGACAGCCAGGAGGUUGGCUCAGAAGCAGCCAUUCCUUAAAAGAGUGCGUAACAGCUCACUGGUCGAGCAGGCGUGCGCAGACAAUGUAACGGGGCUAAGCGUUAUACCGAAGCCGCGGGUCCGCAUUGUAAGAUGCGGGCGGUAGGGGAGCAUUGCGCUAACCGGAGAAGGCGUACCUGUGAGGGGCGCUGGAGGAAGCGGAAGAGAGAAUGCAGGCACAAGUAACGAAAAGACGGGUGAGAUUCCCGUCCGCCGAAAGCCUGAGGAUUCCCGGGUAAAGGCAAUCUGCCCGGGGUAAGUCGGCCCCUAAGGCGAGGACGAAAGUCGUAGUCGAUGGGAAAUCGGUUCACAAUCCGAUACCCGAUUCAGUUUUGAAGGCAGGACGCAUGAGGUGAAAUCCGGCAGAAGAACGGUAGUUUCUGUCCAAGCGGUAAGGUGUUGAGAGGGCGGUUAAAAGAGCCCUUGAGCUGAGCCGUUACGGGGAGCGGAGCGCAGGCGAAGCGAAGCGGACGUAAUCAGGGUGCCGGGAAAUACUGUCUAAAGAUAGGCUGAGUCGGACCGUACCGGAAACGGACACACGCAGGCAGGAUGAGUAAUCUAAGGCGCACGAGCGACCCCGCGUUAAGGAACUCGGCAAAAAGCACACGUAACUUCGGAAGAAGUGUGGCUCACGCUGAUAAGGAUGUGAGCGGCAGAAAGCAGGCCCAGGCGACUGUUUAUCAAAAACACAGCCAUCUGCGAACCAGUAAUGGGACGUAUAGGUGGUGACACCUGCCCGGUACCGGAAGGUUAAGGGGAGGGGUUAGCAGCAAUGCGAAGCUCCGAACCGAAGCCCCGGCAAACGGCGGCCGUAACUAUAACGGUCCUAAGGUAGCGAAAUUCCUUGUCGGGU
rnacentral:rRNA from 1 species